UACGGGGGGGAGCAAACGUUGUUCGGAAUCACUGGGCGUAAAGGGCGUGUAGGCGGCUGGAUAAGUGGGAUGUUAAAUCCCCCCGGCUCAACCCGGGGGACCUGCAUCUCAUACUGUUCAGCUCGAGCACAUCAGAGGAGACUGGAAUUCCCGGUGUAGCGGUGAAAUGCGUAGAGAUCGGCAGGAACAGCCCAGGGGGAAACCAGCCGACUGGGCAUCUGCUGACGCUGAGGUGCGAGAGCGUGGGGAGCGAACCGG
rnacentral:rRNA from 1 species